rnacentral:misc_RNA from 1 species
GUAAUGCUGCAUAAACAGAUUCUAAAAGGUCCUGCACCAAAAUCAUUUGUAUUGCCAACAAAUAAACUAAGCAAAUACUACAUUUCUACACCUUUGGGCAACAAAAGACAGUUUUAAGUCUAAUGAAGUUAAAACCAUUGUUGAACACAUACCCCGUGCAACAACUAUUUGAAAUAAUAGUUGCAUUUGUACAUACCGGGCCAAAAGAUUUU